GCCCCCAGGUGACUUUUGCAGACUCCUUCAUGUACCUCUCACAAGGUAAAGUCAACUUCAGAAGGUCAAAGAUAUUUCAGGAAAGGCAAAGAGUAUGACCUCUUGUACAGUUUGCCCUCAUAAAGGAUAUAUCGGGAGGCCUGGUUUCUAAGCUUUCAAGCUUCUUUUGCAUCAUGAGAAAGAACCCCGUCUUUGAGGUAUGCAACCAGUGGGUCAAUCCAGGUGAAUUUAUGGUUGAUCUCCAUUACAAGCUG
rnacentral:lncRNA from 1 species